rnacentral:rRNA from 1 species
GUUGAACGCUGGCGGCAUGCCUUACACAUGCAAGUCGAACGGUAACGCGGGGCAACCUGGCGACGAGUGGCGAACGGGUGAGUAAUAUAUCGGAACGUGCCCAGUAGUGGGGGAUAGCCCGGCGAAAGCCGGAUUAAUACCGCAUACGACCUACGGGUGAAAGCGGGGGAUCGCAAGACCUCGCGCUAUUGGAGCGGCCGAUAUCCGAGUAGCUAGUUGGUGGGGUAAAAGCCUACCAAGGCGACGAUCUGUAGCUGGUCUGAGAGGACGACCAGCCACACUGGGACUGAGACACGGCCCAGACUCCUACGGGAGGCAGCAGUGGGGAAUUUUGGACAAUGGGCGCAAGCCUGAUCCAGCCAUGCCGCGUGUGGGAAGAAGGCCUUCGGGUUGUAAACCACUUUUGUCAGGGAAGAAACGGUCUGGUCUAAUAAACCGGACUAAUGACGGUACCUGAAGAAUAAGCACCGGCUAACUACGUGCCAGCCGCCGCGGUAA